UACAGAGGUCCCAAGCGUUGUUCGGAUUCACUGGGCGUAAAGGGCUCGUAGGUGGCCAACUAAGUCAGACGUGAAAUCCCUCGGCUUAACCGGGGAACUGCGUCUGAUACUGGAUGGCUAGAGAUUGGGAGAGGGAUGCGGAAUUCCAGGUGUAGCGGUGAAAUGCGUAGAUAUCUGGAGGAACACCGGUGGCGAAGGCGGCAUCCUGGACCAACGCUGACGCUGAGGCACGAAAGCGUGGGGAGCAAAAGGG
rnacentral:rRNA from 1 species